AGUGAACGCUGGCGGUAGGCCUAACACAUGCAAGUCGAACGGCAGCACAGUAAGAGCUUGCUCUUACGGGUGGCGAGUGGCGGACGGGUGAGGAAUACAUCGGAAUCUACUUUUUCGUGGGGGAUAACGUAGGGAAACUUACGCUAAUACCGCAUACGACCUACGGGUGAAAGCAGGGGAUCUUCGGACCUUGCGCGAUUGAAUGAGCCGAUGUCGGAUUAGCUAGUUGGCGGGGUAAAGGCCCACCAAGGCGACGAUCCGUAGCUGGUCUGAGAGGAUGAUCGGCCCAACGGGAACUGAGACAGGGUCAGGAACCCUACGGGAGGCACAGGUGGGGAAUUUUGGAAAGGGGGCAAAAGCCUGACCCAGCCAUACCGGGGGGGGAAAGAAGGCCUUGGGGUGUUAAAGCCCUUUUGUUGGGAAAAAAAAGCAGCAGGUUAAUACCCCGCUGUUCUGACGGUACCAAAAAAAUAAGCACCGGUAAACUUGGG
rnacentral:rRNA from 1 species